GAGAGGAAGAUCAGCCACACUGGGACUGAGACACGGCCCAGACUCCUACGGGAGGCAGCAGUGGGGAAUAUUGCACAAUGGGGGAAACCCUGAUGCAGCCAUGCCGCGUGUGUGAAAAAGGCCUUCGGGUUGUAAAGCACUUUCAGUUGUGAGGAAAAGUUAGUAGUUAAUACCUGCUAGCCGUGACGUUAACAACAGAAGAAGCACCGGCUAACUCCGUGCCAGCAGCCGCGGUAAUACRGAGGGUGCGAGCGUUAAUCGGAAUUACUGGGCGUAAAGCGCACGCACGGCGSUUGUUGAGCUAGAUGUCGAAGCCCCGGGCUCAACAUGGGAUGGUCAUUUAGAACUGGCAGACUAGAGUCUUNGAGAGAGGGGAGUGGAACUCCAGGUGAAGCGSUGAAMUGCGUAGAUAUCUGGAGGAACAUCAGUGGCRAAGGGCGACUC
rnacentral:rRNA from 1 species